CAGAUUUCAUUUGGUACUUUUUAUUUGUUUUCUUUGCUAGAACAUGGACACUCAUAUUUAUGACCUUCUUGUUUUCCAGCACCUCCCAGAUGGCUCUGCCCCAAGUGCACACGCUGAAUUUUAUCUUCUGCCAGAUCCUUAUGAGGUCAGUCGAAGGAAAACAAGAACAGCUCCAAGAGGCUCUGACCCUACUUACAAUGAACUUUCCCUUCCCCGUCUACUGUUCCUGUCUCCUACAAUAAAUCCGGUUUCUGGGAAGAUUAUUGGACUCUGAGCCUCCUCCGUUCCUCCACCGAGCAUCCACAACGUGCUGAGACCGCAGUGCCUGAGGGCUUAAGAGCUCUGAAGGUUCGGUCUGGGACAAAUAGCUCCCAGAUCAUUCCCCACUCCUGACGCUGCUAGCGGUCAGUGAGGCAGAGCUAGCCUGAGCUGGAAAGGCCGCGGAAGGAGCAGCGUUAACUGGCGCCCAACGUGGGGCCUCUGCAGCCUGUGGAGACCCCCGGAGGAGUCGACCCUGUGGAUUACAAAGACUUGUGGGCGGCAGUUACCCCGGUUGUAGCAGGUCGGUUUUUGUCCGGCGGCACUCCCGGGGAAGAAGCGACAACCUCCGGUGUGCAGGAGACCGCUUCUGGGGCUCGGACGCCUUCCACAGCCCAAGUCAGGACCUGGAACAGAUAGAGAGGCAGGUUGACAGACCUGAGCUGCAGGAGCAGCUUAUCCUGGAGAUGGCAAAGACAAAUUGUAAUGACAUUUGUAAACAAGUUAUUUUCAGCCUGCCUUUGUAUCCACCGCCAACCUUGGAUGUCCUCAUUGAUGCAUGCGAGAAGAAAGUGCCAUUAGUGGGGACGUCCAGGGCGCCAUCUCUACCACCGGCGGCCACGAGACCACCGACUGCAGCAAUAGCCCAGCACCCGCCAGGCCAACCUCCACCACUGUCUGGAAAACCUCUGCAGUGCUAUCGCUGUAGGCAGCUGGGGCAUAUGACCAGGGAUUGCCCUGCCGCGCAUCCCUGCCCUGGACCUGCGAGGGGCAAUAUGGGGGGAAAAGGGGGAGAGGGAGUCUUUAAUAAAAAAAACUAAAAGCGCGGCGCGAACCUGCCCCGCGUGAAGCAACAAAUGGGGCAGGUAUCGCGGUGGGGGGGAAAAACACCAACCGGACAUGGCCUAUUCACUGGACGAGACACUUGGUAACGACACGAGACAUCCUCUUCCGGUCCCAGCACUGGACAGUAGUAGCUGUGGACCCGCUGGAGGAAAAGACAAUGGACACCGGACGUGACAGUAAGUACAUCGCCAUCGGGGACACCAAGCACACCCCU